rnacentral:rRNA from 1 species
GACGUAGGUGGCGAACGCUAUCCGGAAUUAUUGGGCGUAAAGGGUGCGUAGGCGGCAUGAUAAGUUAUUGGCGGCAAAUCGAGGCUCAACCUCGUGGAAACUGAUAAUACUGUCUUGCUUGAGUGCAGAAGAGGUUAACGGAACUCCAUGUGGAGCGGUAAAAUGUGUAGAUAUAUGGAAGAACAUCAAUAACGGCGAAGGCAGUUAACUAUUCUGUUACUGACGUUGAGGCACGAAAGCGUGGGGAGCAAAAAGG